rnacentral:rRNA from 1 species
AUUGAACGCUGGCGGCAGGCCUAACACAUGCAAGUCGAGCGAGCGGCGGACGGGUGAGUAAUGUAUGGGGACUGCCUGAUAGAGGGGGAUAACUACUGGAAACGGUAGCUAAUACCGCAUACUAUCGGAUAACCCAUAUGUGAUUAGCUUGUAGGUGGGGUAAAGGCUCACCUAGGCGACGAUCGCUAGCUGGUCUGAGAGGAUGAUCAGCAACACUGGGACGUAGACACGGCCCAGACUCCUACGGAGGCAACAGUGGGGAAUAUUGCACAAUGGGCGCAAGCCUGAUGCAGCCAUGCCGCGUGUAUGAAGAAGGCCGUGGGGUUGUAAAGUACUUUCAGCGGGGAGGCGUUACCCGCAGAAGAAGCACCGGCUAACUCCGUGCCAGCAGCCGCGGUAAUUC